rnacentral:rRNA from 1 species
UGGGGAAUUUUGGACAAUGGGGGAAACCCUGAUCCAGCCAUCCCGCGUGUGCGAUGAAGGCCUUCGGGUUGUAAAGCACUUUUGGCAGGAGAGAAACGUCAUGGGUUAAUACCCCGUGAAACUGACGGUACCUGCAGAAUAAGCACCGGCUAACUACGUGCCAGCAGCCGCGGUAAUACGUAGGGUGCAAGCGUUAAUCGGAAUUACUGGGCGUAAAGCGUGCGCAGGCGGUUCGGAAAGAAAGAUGUGAAAUCCCAGAGCUCAACUUUGGAACUGCAUUUUUAACUACCGGGCUAGAGUGUGUCAGAGGGAGGUGGAAUUCCGCGUGUAGCAGUGAAAUGCGUAGAUAUGCGGAGGAACACCGAUGGCGAAGGCAGCCUCCUGGGAUAACACUGACGCUCAUGCACUAAAGCGUGGGGAGCAAACAGG